GACUCCUAAACACAGUAAAUGGAGGUGUCGAUCUGUGAAACCGGAGAUUCUGGGUUCGAUCCCCAGUGGAGUCG
rnacentral:tRNA from 1 species